rnacentral:lncRNA from 1 species
GAGCUGAGAAGUAUGGCUUUAGUUCCUUGAUGAUAUUCCUUCAUUCCUGUAUCUUCUAGAGCUCUCUAGUAUUGGUAAUGCUGAAGUUUGUAUAAGAAUAAAACUGCCUAACUAACUGGAAAGAAGUUUGAUGAGUUAAGUCUUCCUACCUUCAUUUCCGAGGUCUUCUGAAGGUCUUCACUUCUUUAUAUAGAAGACAUAAACAUACUUUCAAUGGACUCACUGCUACUUAAUGUUUUGUGAAAGUUGUGGCCAAAUUUAGAAAAUUUAGGCAAAGUCCACAUUUUCUAAAACCCCAGAGACCACGACUAUUUUGUUUCAGAAUUACUCUUCCAUCCUGGUAAAUGGGUAUGUAGAUCUUCUACAUAUCAGAGUUCGUGGAGUACCUAAUUAUGUCCUCAGCUUACUCAAGGCGAUUGCCAAAAACAGGUGUUAUGAAAGAAUACUGCCCACAGAAAUACUUGGACAGAGUGGGAAUUGCCUCCAAGAGGCUUUAAGUAUGAGAUCAACAGGACAAUGUGGGGAUUCAGGCCAGUAAGCAUUACAGGGAUGAAGGUGGAUCUAAUUUUUUUCUCUUGCAGAAGAGAAGUGAACAUCCUGAAAACAAGGAGCCAAGAAAAAAUUAAUCCCAGGUUGGACAGAGACCUGAUUAUAUGAUUCUCUGUAUUUUGAGGAAUGACUGUGAACUCUUUUUUACCCCUGAGAAAGGUUUAAAACUAUCUCUGAAGUAUCAUCAAAGUAAUAAAGGAAAUGGCUAAAAUUCCACUAAAGUAAGGCUGCUUUCUGAUACGGGAGAAGCAGAAGACCUAGAAGACAUGAUUGCUUGAACGUUUUUACUUCUUGAAUGUCACGUUUUGAGGCUGAUGCACCCACCUACAAGAUCAACCCAAAUUUGGAUUGUUAUUUACAGCUUCACAGUUACUCUUAACAUUUUUUCCUGGAGGCUCUUGGGCUUAAAACUUUGUUGCUGUGUUCAAGCUUAUAUUAGCAAGCUUUUUAGUGGCUUUGUGUGUUAUAUUACAGCUGUGCCACUCGAGUGA